rnacentral:rRNA from 1 species
GACGAACGCUGGCGGCGUGCCUAAUACAUGCAAGUUGAGCGCUGAAGGUUGGUACUUGUACCAACUGGAUGAGCAGCGAACGGGUGAGUAACGCGUGGGGAAUCUGCCUUUGAGCGGGGGACAACAUUUGGAAACGAAUGCUAAUACCGCAUAAAAACUUUAAACACAAGUUUUAAGUUUGAAAGAUGCAAUUGCAUCACUCAAAGAUGAUCCCGCGUUGUAUCAGCUAGUUGGUGAGGUAAAGGCUCACCAAGGCGAUGAUACAUAGCCGACCUGAGAGGGUGAUCGACCACAUUGGGACUGAGACACGGCCCAAACUCCUACGGGAGGCAGCAGUAGGGAAUCUUCGGCAAUGGACGAAAGUCUGACCGAGCAACGCCGCGUGAGUGAAGAAGGUUUUCGGAUCGUAAAACUCUGUUGGUAGAGAAGAACGUUGGUGAGAGUGGAAAGCUCAUCAAGUGACGGUAACUACCCAGAAAGGGACGGCUAACUACGUG